rnacentral:rRNA from 1 species
UACGAAGGGGGCUAGCGUUGCUCGGAAUUACUGGGCGUAAAGGGCGCGUAGGCGGCAAUUCAAGUCAUCUGUGAAAUCUCCGGGCUUAACUCGGAACGGUCAGGUGAAACUGCUUUGCUGGAGUGCGGAAGGGGCAAUCGGAAUUCUCGGUGUAGCGGUGAAAUGCGUAGAUAUCGAGAGGAACACCUGAGGUGAAGACGGGUUGCUGGGCCGACACUGACGCUGAAGCGCGAAAGCCAGGGGAGCAAACGGG